UACGUAGGGUGCAAGCGUUGUCCGGAAUUAUUGGGCGUAAAGAGCUCGUAGGCGGUUCGUCGCGUCGGCUGUGAAAACCUGAGGCUCAACCUCAGGCCUGCAGUCGAUACGGGCGGACUUGAGUACUGCAGGGGAGACUGGAAUUCCUGGUGUAGCGGUGAAAAUGCGCAGAUAUCAGGAGGAACACCGGUGGCGAAGGCGGGGUCUCUGGGGCAGUAACUGACGUGAGGAGCGAAAAGCGUGGGGGAGCGAAACAGG
rnacentral:rRNA from 1 species